rnacentral:tRNA from 1 species
GCCUCUGUGGCCCAAUUGGCUAGCGCGUUCGGCUGUCAACUGGAUGGCUUGUGGUUCAAGCCCACCAAGGGGCG